AAGUUAUGCAGGGAAGGGUUUUCUCUGGUCUCAUCACUGUUGUAGGCAUGAUUAAUGAGAACUUGAAGAGCGCUUUCUCCAUAGCUGCUCCCAGACUGUGGGACUCCCUUUUAUCAAGGGUGGAGUUGGCCUCUUCCCUGCACUAUUUCUACCAGCAGGUGAAGACGUUUUGUUUAAGCAGGCUUUUGAAUUUCAAUCAUGGGACUAUGGAGUGUAUGAAGGCAGCUUGGUCUGGAGAGAUAAUGGAUUCAUCGUGAAAGCCUGUAUUGCAGAUUGCUGUGUGAGGCUGGUCUUUGUGUUUGCAGGGAUGGCUUUGAGCAAUCAGCCAUUCAAAUGGGACAUAAAGAAGAUUCUUUUCGAUCACAUCAAAGAUUCAUCUUGUCCUGUUCUCAACAUUGGCCAAACCAGCUACCUCUGAGAUGUCAGCAGACAUGACAUAAAGACAAAAGCUACCUGUUGGUGUGCAGCUUCUGAUAUUCAGUGGCAGACUGCCUCUGAAAACCAUUUCAGCUUUAUGGGAAAAGAGCAAUUGAAGGAUCACAAUGCACAAUAAUUGGAGUAAAUUAUAGAACGUAACUGCUACCACAUAGCUGAUCAUUAGGAAAAUCCAUUGUACUAGGCACAGCUUGGUUGAUUCCCUUUUGCAUUUUGGUAUUUUAAAAAUGGUUUUAGUGUGUAUUUAAAUUUAAAAUUGUAAAAUUCACAAAACUAGAGAAAACUAUGUGCAUAUAUACUAUGUAUAUUUAUGAAUGUAUUUGCCAAGCAUAUUAUUCUCUCCAAUCACUGAAAUGGGAAAUAAAUAUCAGAGAGAGAAAAUGAAUGGAUGUAUUCACUAGGAUUUUCUCUGCUAAUUCAACAUUUGUUUAUCUUCUAAUUGGCCCUUGGAACCCAUAUUAUGAAGCAUGAACUGGAAAUUGAUUGAAUACUUAGAUUAACAUUUAACUGUUUUUGAUAAUACAGUAUUCUAAAACCAUCCUUUAGCACCUGAACUAGGAUCACCAAAACUAUAAUAGGGCACUUCCCAUACCAGCAAAAAGUAUAGCAUGUUCUGUUCAGUUUGUCAUGAAGGAAAAUCUAUUUAUGUAUUAUUUAAAAUAUUUAUAUAAUUCCAUAUAACUGAAUAUCUCCAAACUGAUCUGCCAUAAAAUCAUUUUGAAACAUUUAACACUUAAAGCAUAGUAGAUGAAUUUUCAUGCAAAACAGGACCAUUUUAGAAUAGUUAAACAAUUCAAACAAACCCUCACAGGUACAUAUUUGGAUCGACUCAAUCUUCUAAAAAUGUUACUUAAUAAUCAUGGUUUUAUUAGUGCCAAAAGAAGUUACUCCCAAUUUCCUGGCUAAUGGUUAGAGGUGUCUAACAUCUUCUUAUACUCUCAGAUAAAAUAUUGUAUAUGUACAACAUGCCUUCCUUAAUCCGUAGAGUAAAUUGUAUUAUUUUAGCAGGAUUCGAUUCCAUGAUUAUCUCCAUAGUAUAUCACAAAAGAAGCAAUUUUAGUUGAAAUCUGUGAUUUUCUUUAUAAAAAAUAGUAUACUUGAACCCACUCAGAUCAUGUUUGUGGAAAGACAACCAAAUAAAGGAGGCCUAGAAGUUUAUACUGAUUCUACUGUACACUUGUUUUUCAGGAAAUUCUCAAGAAUCACAGACCUCCAGAGUAAUUUACUUUGUCACUGUGACUACAUUUAGCUAAUGUUAGCCAUGAUGUCAGAUACAAUAUACUAAAUUCUUAUUGAAAUGUAUGAUUUACAGAAAGUUCAGGAGUCAAGACUCAUACAGUUGUUUAGGUACAAUUAAACCAAACACAUUAUCUGGAGACAGAAGUUGGAAUAUUUCCAUGUGCUUCUCUUUUUUGUUGCAGUCCUUUGCAUGAAUCAUAUUAAACUGCCAGAGAGAGACUGAAAACAAAUUAGACUUUGAACUGUAGUUAGCAUUGUCACUGUAUUCUUGAUAAGUAAUAAGACUUAUAUCAUAAAUCAAAAACAAAAAUCUAUGCUUAAGUGAGCACCUUCAGUGGCAACACCUGUUUGGGAUGAUUUUGCAGGGUUGAUAAAAGGUUUUUCUGGCACAAUAGUGUUGCUAUUUGCCAUGAAGUCUGCUCCAAUGUCUGAGAUCCAAUGAAAGAAUCGAGGAGCCCCAGACACAAAGAGCUCUGCCCAGGUCACAAUAGUUCAAGGGCAUGGCUUUGAUGACCGUCACCCCGGCUUUCAAAUUGAUUUGGACCCACAGCGGAGAGUUCCGCAGAUCCAUCACCAAAAGGAACGGAGCGGGACCGCAGCAGACUAUUAUUAAAAGAUCUUUUUUUUCUUCACUUUCCCCUUCCCUGAACUAUGUAACAAAUCCCCCAAUAAAAGUAGCCUUCAUUUUUAACAGUAA